ACCCAGCAUCUGGAAGGAAUUUAUUUCCUGCCAACCGAUCAACUCACGACACGGUGGCUUAGUAUGCGGAACAGUCGUUCAAAUGUGUUGAGAAAU
rnacentral:ncRNA from 2 species